rnacentral:lncRNA from 1 species
GGAAUUACGUGACAAUGAUGAUAAAGAAUGAAGACCUGAGAGGAAGAACGAGAAAAGGAUGAUGAAAUAUGUGUGUCGGUCUUUUGGAUUUAGUGCAAACAUCCGUCCAUCUCAUGCUACAUUUGUCUUGUGAUAGUCCUGUGAUGAAAAUAUCUUCCUAUUAAGGUGUCGAUGGUGAAGUGUUUGGAGAAGUUGGAGUGGCAGCUCCACUGAUAUAUUAUCUCUUCCCAUCUCUCGUCCUCCACCCUAUUUAGCAUCGGUGUCAUCCAACGCUACGUGACCUGACCCGAAAGCAGCAUGCGUCGGCCACCGAAAGCCUUUUUGCUCCUCUUCCUCCUCCUCCUCCUGUCGGCGCCUUGUUCGGGCUCCAGCUCCAGCUCCUUCGUCCCCUCCACCACCUUCUCCUCCAACCUCCGGUUCGCUUUCAGUGAGAUCCAGAAGCUCACGUCGCUGAUCUCCGGCUCGUCCGGCGUCCUGGGCGGCAACCUCCGCCUCUCCUCGGCCAUCCAUGACUGCCUAGACCUCCUCGACUUCUCCGCUGACGAGCUCACCUGGACCCUCUCCGUCGUCAAUGACCAGCGCGUGAAGACCCCUGCCACCGGGAACCACCGUUACGACAUCCGCUCCUGGCUCAGCGCCGCUGUCGGCAACCAGGACACCUGCAAGGAAGGCCUCGACAGCGCCGGCGGCCCCCUCGGAGGCCUCGCUGCCGGCGGGCUCAAGAUCGUCAGCUCACUCAUUGCCAACAGCCUCCACGAGGUUGCCGCAUCGUCGGGCGGCGGGGGUGGGGGUCGGAGGCUCCUGGGGUUCCCGGAAUGGGUGUCGGCCGGGGACAGGAGGCUUCUGCAGACGCCGGCACCGGUGGAGC